rnacentral:rRNA from 1 species
GACGAACGCUGGCGGCGUGCUUAACACAUGCAAGUCGAACGGAAAGGCCCUGCUUUUGUGGGGUGCUCGAGUGGCGAACGGGUGAGUAACACGUGAGUAACCUGCCCUUGACUUUGGGAUAACUUCAGGAAACUGGGGCUAAUACCGGAUAGGAGCUCCUGCUGCAUGGUGGGGGUUGGAAAGUUUCGGCGGUUGGGGAUGGACUCGCGGCUUAUCAGCUUGUUGGUGGGGUAGUGGCUUACCAAGGCUUUGACGGGUAGCCGGCCUGAGAGGGUGACCGGCCACAUUAGGACUGAGAUACGGCCCAGACUCCUGCGGGAGGCAGCAGUGGGGAAUAUUGCACAGUGGGCGGAAGCCUGAUGCAGCAACGCCGCGUGCGGGAUGACGGCCUUCGGGUUGUAAACCGCUUUCGCCUGUGACGAAGCGUGAGUGACGGUAAUGGGUAAAGAAGCACCGGCUAACUACGUG